UACGAAGGGGGCUAGCGUUGCUCGGAAUCACUGGGCGUAAAGCGCACGUAGGCGGCUUUUUAAGUCAGGGGUGAAAUCCUGGAGCUCAACUCCAGAACUGCCUUUGAUACUGGCGAUCUCGAGUCCGGGAGAGGUGAGUGGAACUGCGAGUGUAGAGGUGAAAUUCGUAGAUAUUCGCAAGAACACCAGUGGCGAAGGCGGCUCACUGGCCCGGUACUGACGCUGAGGAGCGAAAGCGUGGGGAGCGAACAGG
rnacentral:rRNA from 1 species